AACGACGCUGGCGGCAGGCUUAACACAUGCAAGUCGAACGCCCCGCAAGGGGAGUGGCAGACGGGUGAGUAACGCGUGGGAAUCUACCCAGUUCUACGGAACAACUGAGGGAAACUUCAGCUAAUACCGUAUACGCCCUACGGGGGAAAGAUUUAUCGGAAUUGGAUGAGCCCGCGUUGGAUUAGCUAGUUGGUGAGGUAACGGCUCACCAAGGCGACGAUCCAUAGCUGGUCUGAGAGGAUGAUCAGCCACACUGGGACUGAGACACGGCCCAGACUCCUACGGGAGGCAGCAGUGGGGAAUAUUGGACAAUGGGCGCAAGCCUGAUCCAGCCAUGCCGCGUGAGUGAUGAAGGCCUUAGGGUUGUAAAGCUCUUUCAGUGGGGACGAUAAUGACGGUACCCACAGAAGAAGCCCCGGCUAACUUCGUG
rnacentral:rRNA from 1 species